AUUUCUGGAAUGAUUCAUGGCUCAAACCUACAUGGCCUCUGGAUUGGACUGCGGCCGAUCCGGCUGUUGGUGAGGUAAUGGCCCACCAAACCUGUUACCGGUACGGGCUCUGAGAGGAGGAGCCCGGAGAUGGGCACUGAGACAAGGGCCCAGGCCCUAUGGGGCGCAGCAGGCGCGAAACCUCUGCAAUAGGCGAAAGCCUGACAGGGUUACUCUGAGUGAUUUCCGCUAAGGGAAUCUUUUGGCACCUCUAAAAAUGGUGCAGAAUAAGGGGUGGGCAAGUCUGGUGUCAGCCGCCGCGGUAAUACCAGCACCCCGAGUGGUCGGGACGAUUAUUGGGCCUAAAGCAUCCGUAGCCGGUCCUACAAGUCUUCCGUUAAAUUCCAGCUGCUUAACAGAUGGGCCGCGGGAGAUACUACAGGGCUAGGAGGCGGGAGAGGCAAGCGGUACUUUAUGGCUAGGGGUAAAAUCCGCUGAUCCAUACAACA
rnacentral:rRNA from 1 species